AGAGUUUGAUCCUGGCUCAGAAUCAACGCUGGCGGCGUGCCUCAGACAUGCAAGUCGAACGCGAAAGAAGUCUUCGGACUUCGAGUAGAGUGGCGCACGGGUGAGUAACACGUAGGUAAUUUACCUUUGGGCGGGGAAUAACUCGGGGAAACGCGAGCUAAUACCGCAUAAGGCAGCAGCUUUGGAUGAAGCGGUUGUUAAAGCUCUUCGGGGCACCUAAAGAGAAGCCUGCGGCGGAUUAGCUAGUUGGUAAGGUAAAGGCUUACCAAGGCGACGAUCCGUAUCCGGCCUGAGAGGGCGGUCGGACACACUGACACUGAACACACGGGUCAGACUCCUACGGGAGGCAGCAGUCGGGAAUUUUGGGCAAUGGGGGCAACCCUGACCCAGCAACGCCGCGUGGAGGACGAAAUUUUUCGGAAUGUAAACUCCGCAAGUAUAGGAAGAAUCAAUGACGGUACUAUAUCUAAGCCCCGGCUAACUCCGUGCCAGCCGCCGCGGUAAUAC
rnacentral:rRNA from 1 species